GGCCGCGGGAAUUCGAUUCAGGCCUAACACAUGCAAGUAGAAAGAUUUACUUCGGUAAAGAGCGGCGGACGGGUGAGUAACGCGUGGGUAACCUGCCCUGUACACACGGAUAACAUACCGAAAGGUAUGCUAAUACGAGAUAAUAUACUUUUAUCGCAUGGUAGAAGUAUCAAAGCUCUGGCGGUACAGGAUGGACCCGCGUCUGAUUAGCUAGUUGGUGAGGUAAUGGCUCACCAAGGCGACGAUCAGUAGCCGACCUGAGAGGGUGAUCGGCCACAUUGGAGCUGAGCCCCGGUCC
rnacentral:rRNA from 1 species